rnacentral:piRNA from 1 species
CACACUGUGGUGUCUGAGUGGCUCUGC